rnacentral:rRNA from 1 species
CAAUAGCGUAUAUUAAAGUUGUUGCAGUUAAAAAGCUCGUAGUUGGAUUUCUGGUAGGAGCGACCGUGCCGAACUUGAUUGUUCGAGUAUUGUGUUGUCUUCAGCCAUCCUCGUGGAGAACUUUUCUAACAUUAACUUGUUGGGAUUGGGACCCGCGUCGUUUACUGCGAAAAAAUUAGAGUGUUUAAAGCAGGCAUUAGCUUGAAUACAUUAGCAUGGAAUAAUAAGAUAGGACUUUGGUACUAUUUUGUUGGUUUGCAUACCAAAUUAAUGAUCAACAGGAACAGUUUGAGGAUAUUCGUAUGAACAUGUCAGAGGUGAAAUUCUUGGAUUUUGAUCAGACGAACUACUGCGAAAGCAUUUAUCAAGGAUGUUUUCAUUAA